rnacentral:rRNA from 1 species
AACGAACGCUGGCGGCAGGCUUAACACAUGCAAGUCGAACGGAUGUAGCAAUACAUUAGUGGCAGACGGGUGAGGAACACGUGGGAAUAUCCCCUUCAGUUCGGAAUAACUCAGGGAAACUUGAGCUAAUACCGGAUACGUCCGCGAGGAGAAAGAUUCAUCGCUGAAGGAUUAGCCCGCGUCUGAUUAGCUAGUUGGUGAGGUAAUGGCUCACCAAGGCGACGAUCAGUAGCUGGUCUGAGAGGAUGAUCAGCCACAUUGGGACUGAGACACGGACCAAACUCCUCCGGGAGGAAGCAGUGGGGAAUAUUGGACAAUGGGCGCAAGCCUGAUCCAGCCAUGCCGCGUGAGUGAUGAAGGCCUUCGGGUUGUAAAGCUCUUUUGUCCGGGAAGAUAAUGACUGUACCGGAAGAAUAAGCCCCGGCUAACUUCGUGCCAGCAGCCGCCGUAA